UGAACACCGUCAGGGCCGGGGGCCGCGUC
rnacentral:sRNA from 1 species